rnacentral:rRNA from 1 species
GGGUUGUGAGGUUAAGCGACUAAGCGUACACGGUGGAUGCCCUGGCAGUCAGAGGCGAUGAAGGACGUGCUAAUCUGCGAUAAGCGUCGGUAAGGUGAUAUGAACCGUUAUAACCGGCGAUUUCCGAAUGGGGAAACCCAGUGUGUUUCGACACACUAUCAUUAACUGAAUCCAUAGGUUAAUGAGGCGAACCGGGGGAACUGAAACAUCUAAGUACCCCGAGGAAAAGAAAUCAACCGAGAUUCCCCCAGUAGCGGCGAGCGAACGGGGAGCAGCCCAGAGCCUGAAUCAGUGUGUGUGUUAGUGGAAGCGUCUGGAAAGGCGCGCGAUACAGGGUGACAGCCCCGUACACAAAAAUGCACAUGCUGUGAGCUCGAUGAGUAGGGCGGGACACGUGGUAUCCUGUCUGAAUAUGGGGGGACCAUCCUCCAAGGCUAAAUACUCCUGACUGACCGAUAGUGAACCAGUACCGUGAGGGAAAGGCGAAAAGAACCCCGGCGAGGGGAGUGAAAAAGAACCUGAAACCGUGUACGUACAAGCAGUGGGAGCACGCUUAGGCGUGUGACUGCGUACCUUUUGUAUAAUGGGUCAGCGACUUAUAUUCUGUAGCAAGGUUAACCGAAUAGGGGAGCCGAAGGGAAACCGAGUCUUAACUGGGCGUUAAGUUGCAGGGUAUAGACCCGAAACCCGGUGAUCUAGCCAUGGGCAGGUUGAAGGUUGGGUAACACUAACUGGAGGACCGAACCGACUAAUGUUGAAAAAUUAGCGGAUGACUUGUGGCUGGGGGUGAAAGGCCAAUCAAACCGGGAGAUAGCUGGUUCUCCCCGAAAGCUAUUUAGGUAGCGCCUCGUGAAUUCAUCUCCGGGGGUAGAGCACUGUUUCGGCAAGGGGGUCAUCCCGACUUACCAACCCGAUGCAAACUGCGAAUACCGGAGAAUGUUAUCACGGGAGACACACGGCGGGUGCUAACGUCCGUCGUGAAGAGGGAAACAACCCAGACCGCCAGCUAAGGUCCCAAAGUCAUGGUUAAGUGGGAAACGAUGUGGGAAGGCCCAGACAGCCAGGAUGUUGGCUUAGAAGCAGCCAUCAUUUAAAGAAAGCGUAAUAGCUCACUGGUCGAGUCGGCCUGCGCGGAAGAUGUAACGGGGCUAAACCAUGCACCGAAGCUGCGGCAGCGACGCUUAUGCGUUGUUGGGUAGGGGAGCGUUCUGUAAGCCUGUGAAGGUGUGCUGUGAGGCAUGCUGGAGGUAUCAGAAGUGCGAAUGCUGACAUAAGUAACGAUAAAGCGGGUGAAAAGCCCGCUCGCCGGAAGACCAAGGGUUCCUGUCCAACGUUAAUCGGGGCAGGGUGAGUCGACCCCUAAGGCGAGGCCGAAAGGCGUAGUCGAUGGGAAACAGGUUAAUAUUCCUGUACUUGGUGUUACUGCGAAGGGGGGACGGAGAAGGCUAUGUUGGCCGGGCGACGGUUGUCCCGGUUUAAGCGUGUAGGCUGGUUUUCCAGGCAAAUCCGGAAAAUCAAGGCUGAGGCGUGAUGACGAGGCACUACGGUGCUGAAGCAACAAAUGCCCUGCUUCCAGGAAAAGCCUCUAAGCAUCAGGUAACAUCAAAUCGUACCCCAAACCGACACAGGUGGUCAGGUAGAGAAUACCAAGGCGCUUGAGAGAACUCGGGUGAAGGAACUAGGCAAAAUGGUGCCGUAACUUCGGGAGAAGGCACGCUGAUAUGUAGGUGAAGUCCCUCGCGGAUGGAGCUGAAAUCAGUCGAAGAUACCAGCUGGCUGCAACUGUUUAUUAAAAACACAGCACUGUGCAAACACGAAAGUGGACGUAUACGGUGUGACGCCUGCCCGGUGCCGGAAGGUUAAUUGAUGGGGUUAGCCGCAAGGCGAAGCUCUUGAUCGAAGCCCCGGUAAACGGCGGCCGUAACUAUAACGGUCCUAAGGUAGCGAAAUUCCUUGUCGGGUAAGUUCCGACCUGCACGAAUGGCGUAAUGAUGGCCAGGCUGUCUCCACCCGAGACUCAGUGAAAUUGAACUCGCUGUGAAGAUGCAGUGUACCCGCGGCAAGACGGAAAGACCCCGUGAACCUUUACUAUAGCUUGACACUGAACAUUGAGCCUUGAUGUGUAGGAUAGGUGGGAGGCUUAGAAGUGUGGACGCCAGUCUGCAUGGAGCCGACCUUGAAAUACCACCCUUUAAUGUUUGAUGUUCUAACGUUGACCCGUAAUCCGGGUUGCGGACAGUGUCUGGUGGGUAGUUUGACUGGGGCGGUCUCCUCCUAAAGAGUAACGGAGGAGCACGAAGGUUGGCUAAUCCUGGUCGGACAUCAGGAGGUUAGUGCAAUGGCAUAAGCCAGCUUGACUGCGAGCGUGACGGCGCGAGCAGGUGCGAAAGCAGGUCAUAGUGAUCCGGUGGUUCUGAAUGGAAGGGCCAUCGCUCAACGGAUAAAAGGUACUCCGGGGAUAACAGGCUGAUACCGCCCAAGAGUUCAUAUCGACGGCGGUGUUUGGCACCUCGAUGUCGGCUCAUCACAUCCUGGGGCUGAAGUAGGUCCCAAGGGUAUGGCUGUUCGCCAUUUAAAGUGGUACGCGAGCUGGGUUUAGAACGUCGUGAGACAGUUCGGUCCCUAUCUGCCGUGGGCGCUGGAGAACUGAGGGGGGCUGCUCCUAGUACGAGAGGACCGGAGUGGACGCAUCACUGGUGUUCGGGUUGUCAUGCCAAUGGCACUGCCCGGUAGCUAAAUGCGGAAGAGAUAAGUGCUGAAAGCAUCUAAGCACGAAACUUGCCCCGAGAUGAGUUCUCCCUGACCCUUUAAGGGUCCUGAAGGAACGUUGAAGACGACGACGUUGAUAGGCCGGGUGUGUAAGCGCAGCGAUGCGUUGAGCUAACCGGUACUAAUGAACCGUGAGGCUUAACCUUACAACGCCGAAGCUGUU